rnacentral:rRNA from 1 species
GACGAACGCUGGCGGCGUGCUUAACACAUGCAAGUCGAACGGCAAGGCACUGCGUUUGUGGGGUGCUCGAGUGGCGAACGGGGGCGUAAGACGUGUGUAACCUGCCCUUGUCUUUCGGAUAAAUUAAGGAGACUGAGGCUAAUAACUGAUAGAAGCUCCUGAUGCGUGGUGGGGGUUGGAAAGUGUCGGUGGUUGGGGAUAGUCACGCGGCGUAUCAGCUGGUUGUUGGGGUAGUGGAUUACCAAGGCUUUGACGGGUAGCCGGCCUGCGAGGGUGACCAGCCACAUGAGGACUGCGAUACGGCCCAGACGCCUACGGGAGGCAGCAGUGGGGAAUAUGGCACAAUGAGCGGAAGCCUGAUGCAGCAACGCCGCGUUCGGGAUGACGGCCUUCGGGGUGUAAACCGCUUUCGCCUGUGACGAAGCGUUAGUGACGGUAAUGAGUAAAGAAGCACCGGCUAACUACGUG